AUUGAACGCUGGCGGCAGGCCUAACACAUGCAAGUCGAGCGAGCGGCGGACGGGUGAGUCAUGGAGGGGGAUGUGCCCGAUAGAGGGGGAUAAAUAGUGGAAACGGUGGCUAAUACCGCAUACUCAGGGAUGAACCAAUAUGGGAUUAGCUUGUGGGUGAGGUAACGGCUACACUAGGCGACGAUCCCUAGCUGGUCUGAGAGGAUGAUCAGCCACACUGGAACUGUGACACGGCCCUGCCUCCUGCGGGAGGCAGCAGUGGGGAAUAUUCCGCAAUGGCCGCAAGCCUGAUGCAGCCAUGCCGCGUGAAUGAAGAAGGCCUUCGGGUUGUAAAAUACUUUCGGUCGGGAGGCGUUACCGACAGAGGAAGCCCCGGCUAACUCCGUGCCAGCAGCCGCGGUAAUAC
rnacentral:rRNA from 1 species